rnacentral:misc_RNA from 1 species
CUUUCAUCCUCCAUUGUAGGUGGAGACACCUUUACUUCCUUGGGCUGGGGCUCUGGCUGUCGAGGCUUUCCACUUGAUUUGCUUUUGCUGCUAUUGUUGUGAGCGGCAUCGCGUGCCUGCUUAGCAGCUCCAGUAACAACCUCAAACACUGUUGGGAGAUCAUUUGUCAUUUGGAAAAGCCUCUUCCUUUCACUCUUGCCAAACCCAAACCGUGCGCCAAAGUAGAAUGCAACAGAAAGCAGCCAUGAAUCACUAUGAACAGCAACAAGUGAUAACCAGUCUUUCUCUUGCAUUCCAUCACGUGCAAAGUUUAUGCCUAAUGCUGGCUCCGGAAGUUCUGGAGGCACCUCCUCAACAGGGAGGUUUACUUCCCAUGUUUCAUUAGGAAGCCCAUAGAGACACAAGUUCUCCUUUUCAGGAUCACACGACUGAUAGAACUUCUCGACAUCUGUAGUUAGUGCUUUAAUUAAACCAGCUCUACGACCUUUGAAAUCGUUGAAUACUUCUUCUACAGUCCUAGGUACCGUAUUUUCCAUAUUAUCCUUCUCUUCACUCAAUUUUUAACAACCCCACAAGAAAAAAAUCGAGUCUUUGAAAAAAAACAAGAAAAUUAGGGUUUUUUCCCCAAAGAACUAGGGUUUCCUCUUCAUGUUGCCCAAAACUUUAAAAAUAGCUUGCUAUGUGCUGUGAAAAAUGAAGAUUCAUAAAGAGAAAAGCUCAAAUUUUCAUGAGAAAUUGUGAGAAGCAAGUAGAGAAAUUGUAAGAAACGGAUAUAUAGAGAGAGAGAGAGAAGAGCAUGAGGUGGUGGAGAGACUAAUGAGAGUAUUGGUAUAUAUAGUGAUAUUUCCUGCAAUCUUGGCUUCUGACUUUCCUCUCUCUUUCUUGUUGGGUCACUCGUUUUUCUUUUCAUGUUUCAACUCG